GGAUUCAGUUUUGGAGGGCCACUAUACAUUGCAUUAUCUAAUUUUUUUUUCAUCCCAAGAACCAAUUUUUGUCUCUUUGAGAAUAUAUGUCUUAAAGUGAAUGAAAAUUCUAUAGGUUUUAACAUUAUUAGGGGGAAAAAAAACUUUAUGAGUAACACUGGAGGUUGAAUUAGUUGGCUUCUUAUCUCAUUUCUGUCCCAUACUAGCUGUGUGGUCUCAGGAGAAAUCUGCUUUACCUCCUUGUUUUGGAAAACAU